rnacentral:rRNA from 1 species
AUGUUGGGGGGUAAGGGCUCAGGGUCAGUGAGAGGAGAUCACCCACCUGGGAUGAGACACGGUCCAGAAUUCGGAGGCAGCAGAAUAUGGCCAAUGGGCGCAAGCUGACCCAUGCCGCUGAUGAAGCUAGGGUAAAGCUAUUUUGUCCGGGCCGAUAAUGACGGUACCGGAAGAAUAAGCCCCGGCUAACUUCGUGCCAGCAGCCGCGGUAAUACGAAGGGGGCGAGCGUUGCUCGGAAUCACUGGGCGUAAAGGGCGGUAGGCGGCCAUUUAAGUCGGGGGUGAAAGCCUGUGGCUCAACCUCAGAAUUGCAUUCGAUACUGUUUGGCUUGAGUAUGGUAGAGGUGGGUGGAAUCGAGUGUAGAGGUGAAAUUCGUAGAUAUUGCAAGAACACCAGUGGCGAAGGCGGCCGCCUGGACC